rnacentral:rRNA from 1 species
UCCGUCCUACGGGGGGCAGCAGUGGGGAAUAUUGGGCAAUGGGCGCAAGCCUGACCCAGCAACGCCGCGUGAAGGAAGAAGGCUUUCGGGUUGUAAACUUCUUUUCUCAGGGACGAAGAAAGUGACGGUACCUGAGGAAUAAGCCACGGCUAACUACGUGCCAGCAGCCGCGGUAAUACGUAGGUGGCAAGCGUUAUCCGGAUUUACUGGGUGUAAAGGGCGUGUAGGCGGGGAAGCAAGUCAGAUGUGAAAACAACGGGCUCAACCUGUGGCCUGCAUUUGAAACUGUUUUUCUU